UUAAGUGAAUAAGGGCGCACGGUGGAUGCCUUGGUACUAGGAGCCGAAGAAGGACGGAACUAACACCGAUAUGCUUUGGGGAGCUGUAAGUAAGCUAAGAUCCAAAGAUUUCCGAAUGGGGGAACCCAACACCUUUCAUAGGGUGUUACCAAUGAGUGAAUACAUAGCUCAUUAGGAGGUACACGCAGGGAACUGAAACAUCUCAUUACCUGCAGGAAGAGAAAGAAAAAUCGAUUCCCUGAGUAGCGGCGAGCGAAACGGGAGGAGCCCAAACCAACGAGCUUGCUUGUUGGGGUUGUAGGACUAGAACGUGAGAAGAAAUCAAGAUAGCAGAAGUGGUCUGGAAAGGCCCAUCAAAGAAGGUGACAAUCCUGUACGCGACAUCUUGAUGAACUCUACUAGCAUCCUGAGUACGGCGGGACACGAGGAAUCCCGUCGGAAUCCGCCAGGACCAUCUGGCAAGGCUAAAUACUACCUAGUGACCGAUAGUGAACCAGUACCGUGAGGGAAAGGUGAAAAGAACCCCGGGAGGGGAGUGAAAGAGUACCUGAAACCGUGUGCUUACAAGUAGUCAGAGCCCGUUAAUGGGUGAUGGCGUGCCUUUUGUAGAAUGAACCGGCGAGUUACGUUUACAUGCGAGGUUAAGAUGAAGAGUCGGAGCCGUAGCGAAAGCGAGUCUGAAUAGGGCGCAUGUAGUAUGUGGACGUAGACCCGAAACCAAGUGAUCUACCCAUGUCCAGGUUGAAGGUGCGGUAAAACGCACUGGAGGACCGAACCAGGGCACGUUGAAAAGUGCUUGGAUGAGGUGUGGGUAGCGGAGAAAUUCCAAUCGAACUUGGAGAUAGCUGGUUCUCUCCGAAAUAGCUUUAGGGCUAGCCUCGGAAUCAAGAAUCGUGGAGGUAGAGCACUGUUUGGACUAGGGGCCCAUCUCGGGUUACCGAAUUCAGAUAAACUCCGAAUGCCAUGUAUUUAUAUCCGGGAGUCAGACUGCGAGUGAUAAGAUCCGUAGUCGAAAGGGAAACAGCCCAGACCACCAGCUAAGGUCCCAAAAUAUCUGUUAAGUGGAAAAGGAUGUGGGGUUGCACAGACAACUAGGAUGUUGGCUUAGAAGCAGCCAUCAUUCAAAGAGUGCGUAAUAGCUCACUAGUCGAGUGACCCUGCGCCGAAAAUGUAACGGGGCUAAACAGAUUACCGAAGCUGUGGAUUGGACCAUUAGGUCCAGUGGUAGGAGAGCGUUCUAAGGGCUGUGAAGCAUGACCGUAAGGACAUGUGGAGCGCUUAGAAGUGAGAAUGCCGGUAUGAGUAGCGAAAGACGGGUGAGAAUCCCGUCCACCGAAUAACUAAGGUUUCCUGGGGAAGGCUCGUCCUCCCAGGGUUAGUCGGGACCUAAGGCGAGGCCGAUAGGCGUAGUCGAUGGACAACAGGUUGAUAUUCCUGUACUUCUAUAAAUCGUUUGAGCAAUGGAGGGACGCAGGAGGCUAAGAAAAGCGUACGACUGGAAGUGUACGCCCAAGCAGUGAGUCGGCUGAUGAGUCAAAUGCUUAUCACGGAUGCGACAAGCUGUGACGGGGAGGGAAGUUUAGUACCGAAGUUUCUGAUGUCACACUGCCGAGAAAAGCUUCUAGCAAGAUUUAUAGGACCCGUACCGCAAACCGACACAGGUAGUUGAGGAGAGAAUCCUAAGGUGAGCGAGCGAACUCUCGUUAAGGAACUCGGCAAAAUGACCCCGUAACUUCGGGAGAAGGGGUGCUGGUAGCAAUACCAGCCGCAGUGAAUAGGCCCAGGCGACUGUUUAUCAAAAACACAGGUCUCUGCAAAAUCGAAAGAUGACGUAUAGGGGCUGACGCCUGCCCGGUGCUGGAAGGUUAAGAGGAGAGGUUAGUCCUUGAGGCGAAGCUUUGAAUUGAAGCCCCAGUAAACGGCGGCCGUAACUAUAACGGUCCUAAGGUAGCGAAAUUCCUUGUCGGGUAAGUUCCGACCCGCACGAAAGGCGUAA
rnacentral:rRNA from 1 species